AAACCGCAAGUGUGCAGUCGCUGUGGAGCAUCACGCUUCACAGAGGAAAGUCCGAACUUCACAGGGCAGGGUGCCGGUCGAGAGCCGAAAGGCUCAAGCCCGGGGAUAACGGCGCAAGCCGGUUAUCACAGAGAGUGCAACAGAAAACAGACCGCUCCGGACGGCCGGAGUAAGGGUGAAACGGCGGUGUAAGAGACCACCAGGCAGUGCAGUAAUGCACUGCGCUUGGCAAACCUCCCCGAAGCAAGGCUAAAUAGGAAAACUUUUCCCUCCGGGGAAAGAGAGCGGCCCGUUCAAUUCCGAAAGGAGAGUUUUCGGGUAAGCCGCAUCAGAUAAAUGGCUGCAGUUUUAUCCGGACUCCGGAUAAUCCACAGAAUUCGGCUUACAGCUUCGGUUUCAGC
rnacentral:RNase_P_RNA from 23 species